UUUGCUUUGGUGGCACAUAACGCUAAAAUUGGAAUGACUCAGAGAAGAUUAUCAGGGUCCUUGCAAAGGAUGACAUACAACUUCAGGAAGCACUCUGUAUGCAUUUUUU